rnacentral:rRNA from 1 species
CGUAGGUGAACCUGCGGAAGGAUCAUUACAAGUGAGGCUACCGAACGUUGGAAACAGCGGUUAGGAGCUUACACCCACCCGUGUCUACAUACUAUUGUUGCUUUGGCGGGCCGUGGCCUCCACUGCGGGCUCUGCUCGUGUGUGCCCGCCAGAAGAAACCAAACUCUGAAUGUUAGUGAUGUCUGAGUACUAUCUAAUAGUUAAAACUUUCAACAACGGAUCUCUUGGUUCUGGCAUCGAUGAAGAACGCAGCGAAAUGCGAUAAGUAAUGUGAGUUGCAGAAUUCAGUGAAUCAUCGAAUCUUCGAACGCACAUUGCGCCCUGUGGUAUUCCGCAGGGCAUGCCUGUUCGAGCGUCAUUUAACCGCUCACGCCUAGCGUGGUAUUGGGGCACGCGGUCUCCGCGGCCCUCAAAAUUAGUGGCGGCGCCGGUGGGCUCUAAGCGUAGUACAUACUCCCGCUAUAGAGUUCCCCCGGUGGCUCGCCAGAACCCCCAAUUUUUACAGGUUGACCUCGGAUCAGGUAGGGAUACCCGCUGAACUUAAGCAUAUCAAUAAGCGGAGGA